GCGCCUGUAGCUCAACUGGAGAGAGCGCGAGGCUUCGGACCUCGAGGUUGCGGGUUCAACUCCUGCCAGGCGCGCCA
rnacentral:tRNA from 1 species